AUACGGAGGGUGCAAGCGUUAAUCGGAAUUACUGGGCGUAAAGCGUACGUAGGCGGUUGGUUAAGUUAGAUGUGAAAGCCCCGGGCUUAACCUGGGAACUGCAUUUAAAACUGGCGAACUAGAGUUGAGUAGAGGGGAGUGGAAUUUCAGGUGUAGCGGUGAAAUGCGUAGAGAUCUGAAGGAACACCAGUGGCGAAGGCGACUCCCUGGACUCGAACUGACGCUGAGGUACGAAAGCGUGGGUAGCAAACGGGAUUAGAAACCCCUGUAGUCC
rnacentral:rRNA from 1 species